CCUACGGGAGGCAGCAGUGGGGGAUAUUGCACAAUGGGGGAAACCCUGAUGCAGCGACGCCGCGUGUGGGAAGACGGUCCUCUGGAUUGUAAACCACUGUCUCCAGGGACGAAGAUGACGGUACCUGGGGAGGAUGCUCCGGCUAACUACGUGCCAGCAGCCGCGGUAAUACGUAGGGAGCGAGCGUUGUCCGGAAUUACUGGGUGAAAAGGGAGCGCAGGCGGGACUGCAAGUUGUGUGUCAAAUCUACCGGCUCAACCGGUAGCCGCACUCAAAACUGCAGUUCUUGAGUGAAGUAGAGGCAGGCGGAAUUCCUAGUGUAGCGGUGGAAUGCGUAGAUAUUAGGAGGAACACCAGUGGCGAAGGCGGCCUGCUGGGCUUUUACUGACGCUGAGGCUCGAAAGUGUGGGGAGCAAACAGGAUUAGAUACCCUUGUAGUC
rnacentral:rRNA from 1 species